AGGGAAGCGAGAUCGAGAGAUGGAGCAAAUCCCAAAAAUAACGUCCCAGUUCGGACUGUAGUCUGCAACCCGACUACACGAAGCUGGAAUCGCUAGUAAUCGCGGAUCAGAAUGCCGCGGUGAAUACGUUCCCGGGUCUUGUACACACCGCCCGUCACACCAUGGGAGUCAGUAACGCCCGAAGUCAGUGACCUAACCGAAAGGGGGGAGCUGCCGAAGGCGGGACGGAUGACUGGGGUGAAGUCGUAACAAGGUAAC
rnacentral:rRNA from 1 species